GGGCGUGUAACUCAGUGGUAGAGUGUGAGAUUGCAGUUUGCACGUAAUUAUCAUCUUAACGUCCUCGGUUCGAUCCCGAGUACGCCCU